GAUGAACGCUGGCGGCGUGCCUAAUACAUGCAAGUCGAGCGAACGGACGAGAAGCUUGCUUCUCUGAUGUUAGCGGCGGACGGGUGAGUAACACGUGGAUAACCUACCUAUAAGACUGGGAUAACUUCGGGAAACCGGAGCUAAUACCGGAUAAUAUUUUGAACCGCAUGGUUCAAAAGUAAAAGACGGUCUUGCUGUCACUUAUAGAUGGAUCCGCGCUGCAUUAGCUAGUUGGUAAGGUAACGGCUUACCAAGGCAACGAUGCAUAGCCGACCUGAGAGGGUGAACGGCCACCAGGGAACUGGGACACGGUCCCAGCCCCUAAGGGAGGCAGCAGUAGGGAAUCUUCCGCAAUGGGCGAAAGCCUGACGGAGCAACGCCGGGUGAGUGAUGAAGGUCUUCGGAUCGUAAAACUCUGUUAUUAGGGAAGAACAUAUGUGUAAGUAACUGUGCCCAUCUUGACGGUACCUAAUCAGAAAGCCACGGCUAACUACGUG
rnacentral:rRNA from 1 species